rnacentral:rRNA from 1 species
ACUUGUGCUAAUACCGUAAGUGCCCUUCGGGGGAAAGAUUUAUCGGCAAAGGAUCGGCCCGCGUUGGAUUAGGCUUUUGGUGAGGUAAAGGCUCACCAAGGCGACUAUCCAUAGCUGGUCUGAGAGGAUGAUCAGCCACACUGGGACUGAAAACGGCCCAAACUCCUACGGGAGGGAGCCGUGGGGAAUAUUGCACAAUGGGCGCAAGCCUGAUCCAGCCAUGCCGCGUGAGUGAUGAAGGCCCUAGGGUUGUAAAGCUCUUUCACCGGUGAAGAUAAUGACGGUCACCGGAAAAGAAGCCCCGGCUAACUUCGUGCCAGCAGCCGCGGUAAUACGAAGGGGGCUAACGUUGUUCAGAUUUACUGGGCGUAAAGCGCACGUAGGCGGACUUUUAAGUCAGGGGUGAAAUCCCGGGGCUCAACCCCGGAACUGCCUUUGAUACUGGAAAUCUUGAUUAUGGUAUAGGUGAGUGGAACUCCGAGUGUAAAGGUGAAAUUCCUAGAUAUUCUGAGGAACACCAGUGGCGAAGGCGACUCACUGGACCAUUACUGACGCUUAUGUGCGAAAGCGUGGGGAGCAAACAGGAUUAGAUACCCUGAUACUCCACGCCGUAAACGAUGAAUGUGAGCCGUUGCGGAGUUUACUCUUCGGUGGCGCAA